rnacentral:lncRNA from 1 species
UGAGGGUAGUUCCUCCUCUUCUCUGUUAGAUGGAACAAGGAUGAGAUGCCUCACACGUGUAAACCUCCCCCUUCUCUUCUCUUCUCUUCUUGGCCAUAAAGGUUGUGAGCCAAGCUUCACCUCGGCUGACCCUCACUCUUUUUUCUUGGGUGUUGCCAUGAUGUUUCUUUGACCCCCAAAACUAAUAUUAGGCUCAUACUCCUUAGUUUUUUUUAGUUUGGGCCUUGAACUCCUUUUUUGAAUUGAUCCCUUGGAUCAAGGUUAACAGGCUUCGGGAUUUGGGGCUUUUGAUGGUUGGGCCAUGUUUCUUGUCUUCUUGGACAGUUCUAGGGUUAAACAUGUCUGAUGGGCCCUAGAAGAAUCUAAAAAAUUCUUUAAUCAAGCCUCUAACUCUGGGGAAUCUAUCUACGUGUGGGACUCCUUCUUCCUGCAAGAGUGGGAGUCUGCAUGGGCACGAGCGUGCACCUCUACAUAUGCGGCAUGUGCUUGUGUGCUGGAUGUGUGCACAUGAGCAUGCACAUGCUUUGUCGUGUGCAAAAAUAUGGUUAGAUGUGUUGCGCAAGCAUACCUCCUUGUCCACGUAUCCGUGGGCUUGCAGGUAAUCU